rnacentral:rRNA from 1 species
AACGAACGCUGGCGGCAUGCCUAACACAUGCAAGUCGAACGGCAGCACGGGGCAACCUGGCGGCGAGUGGCGAACGGGUGAGUAAUAUAUCGGAACAUACCCUAGAGUGGGGGAUAACGUAGCGAAAGUUACGCUAAUACCGCAUACGAUCUAAGGAUGAAAGUGGGGGAUCUUCGGACCUCAUGCUCAUGGAGUGGCCGAUAUCUGAUUAGCUAGUUGGUGAGGUAAAGGCUCACCAAGGCGACGAUCAGUAGCUGGUUUGAGAGAACGACCAGCCACACUGGAACUGAGACACGGUCCAGACUCCUACGGGAGGCAGCAGGUGGGUAAGUUUUGGACAAGUGGGGGCAACCCUGAUCCAGCAAUGCCGCGUGAGUGAAGAAGGCC